UACGUAGGAUGCAAGCGUUGUCCGGAAUUAUUGGGCGUAAAGAGCGCGCAGGCGGUAUGACAAGUCAGAUGUGAAAGAGGCCGGCUUAACCGGCAAGGGUCAUUUGAAACUGUCAGACUAGAGUGCAGCAGAGGAUAGUGGAAUUCCCGGUGUAGUGGUGAAAUGCGUAGAUAUCGGGAGGAACACCAGUGGCGAAGGCGACUAUCUGGGCCAUUACUGACGCUGAGGAGCGAAAGCGUGGGGAGCGAACAGG
rnacentral:rRNA from 1 species